rnacentral:rRNA from 1 species
GGGUUGUGAGGUUAAGCGACUAAGCGUACACGGUGGAUGCCCUGGCAGUCAGAGGCGAUGAAGGACGUGCUAAUCUGCGAUAAGCGUCGGUAAGGUGAUAUGAACCGUUAUAACCGGCGAUUUCCGAAUGGGGAAACCCAGUGUGAUUCGUCACACUAUCAUUAACUGAAUCCAUAGGUUAAUGAGGCGAACCGGGGGAACUGAAACAUCUAAGUACCCCGAGGAAAAGAAAUCAACCGAGAUUCCCCCAGUAGCGGCGAGCGAACGGGGAGCAGCCCAGAGCCUGAAUCAGUGUGUGUGUUAGUGGAAGCGUCUGGAAAGGCGUGCGAUACAGGGUGACAGCCCCGUACACAAAAAUGCACAUAUUGUGAGCUCGAUGAGUAGGGCGGGACACGUGGUAUCCUGUCUGAAUAUGGGGGGACCAUCCUCCAAGGCUAAAUACUCCUGACUGACCGAUAGUGAACCAGUACCGUGAGGGAAAGGCGAAAAGAACCCCGGCGAGGGGAGUGAAAAAGAACCUGAAACCGUGUACGUACAAGCAGUGGGAGCACGCUUAGGCGUGUGACUGCGUACCUUUUGUAUAAUGGGUCAGCGACUUAUAUUCUGUAGCAAGGUUAACCGAAUAGGGGAGCCGAAGGGAAACCGAGUCUUAACUGGGCGUUAAGUUGCAGGGUAUAGACCCGAAACCCGGUGAUCUAGCCAUGGGCAGGUUGAAGGUUGGGUAACACUAACUGGAGGACCGAACCGACUAAUGUUGAAAAAUUAGCGGAUGACUUGUGGCUGGGGGUGAAAGGCCAAUCAAACCGGGAGAUAGCUGGUUCUCCCCGAAAGCUAUUUAGGUAGCGCCUCGUGAAUUCAUCUCCGGGGGUAGAGCACUGUUUCGGCAAGGGGGUCAUCCCGACUUACCAACCCGAUGCAAACUGCGAAUACCGGAGAAUGUUAUCACGGGAGACACACGGCGGGUGCUAACGUCCGUCGUGAAGAGGGAAACAACCCAGACCGCCAGCUAAGGUCCCAAAGUCAUGGUUAAGUGGGAAACGAUGUGGGAAGGCCCAGACAGCCAGGAUGUUGGCUUAGAAGCAGCCAUCAUUUAAAGAAAGCGUAAUAGCUCACUGGUCGAGUCGGCCUGCGCGGAAGAUGUAACGGGGCUAAACCAUGCACCGAAGCUGCGGCAGCGACGCUUAUGCGUUGUUGGGUAGGGGAGCGUUCUGUAAGCCUGCGAAGGUGUGCUGUGAGGCAUGCUGGAGGUAUCAGAAGUGCGAAUGCUGACAUAAGUAACGAUAAAGCGGGUGAAAAGCCCGCUCGCCGGAAGACCAAGGGUUCCUGUCCAACGUUAAUCGGGGCAGGGUGAGUCGACCCCUAAGGCGAGGCCGAAAGGCGUAGUCGAUGGGAAACAGGUUAAUAUUCCUGUACUUGGUGUUACUGCGAAGGGGGGACGGAGAAGGCUAUGUUGGCCGGGCGACGGUUGUCCCGGUUUAAGCGUGUAGGCUGGUUUUCCAGGCAAAUCCGGAAAAUCAAGGCUGAGGCGUGAUGACGAGGCACUACGGUGCUGAAGCAACAAAUGCCCUGCUUCCAGGAAAAGCCUCUAAGCAUCAGGUAACAUCAAAUCGUACCCCAAACCGACACAGGUGGUCAGGUAGAGAAUACCAAGGCGCUUGAGAGAACUCGGGUGAAGGAACUAGGCAAAAUGGUGCCGUAACUUCGGGAGAAGGCACGCUGAUAUGUAGGUGAAGUCCCUUGCGGAUGGAGCUGAAAUCAGUCGAAGAUACCAGCUGGCUGCAACUGUUUAUUAAAAACACAGCACUGUGCAAACACGAAAGUGGACGUAUACGGUGUGACGCCUGCCCGGUGCCGGAAGGUUAAUUGAUGGGGUUAGCGCAAGCGAAGCUCUUGAUCGAAGCCCCGGUAAACGGCGGCCGUAACUAUAACGGUCCUAAGGUAGCGAAAUUCCUUGUCGGGUAAGUUCCGACCUGCACGAAUGGCGUAAUGAUGGCCAGGCUGUCUCCACCCGAGACUCAGUGAAAUUGAACUCGCUGUGAAGAUGCAGUGUACCCGCGGCAAGACGGAAAGACCCCGUGAACCUUUACUAUAGCUUGACACUGAACAUUGAGCCUUGAUGUGUAGGAUAGGUGGGAGGCUUUGAAGUGUGGACGCCAGUCUGCAUGGAGCCGACCUUGAAAUACCACCCUUUAAUGUUUGAUGUUCUAACGUUGACCCGUAAUCCGGGUUGCGGACAGUGUCUGGUGGGUAGUUUGACUGGGGCGGUCUCCUCCUAAAGAGUAACGGAGGAGCACGAAGGUUGGCUAAUCCUGGUCGGACAUCAGGAGGUUAGUGCAAUGGCAUAAGCCAGCUUGACUGCGAGCGUGACGGCGCGAGCAGGUGCGAAAGCAGGUCAUAGUGAUCCGGUGGUUCUGAAUGGAAGGGCCAUCGCUCAACGGAUAAAAGGUACUCCGGGGAUAACAGGCUGAUACCGCCCAAGAGUUCAUAUCGACGGCGGUGUUUGGCACCUCGAUGUCGGCUCAUCACAUCCUGGGGCUGAAGUAGGUCCCAAGGGUAUGGCUGUUCGCCAUUUAAAGUGGUACGCGAGCUGGGUUUAGAACGUCGUGAGACAGUUCGGUCCCUAUCUGCCGUGGGCGCUGGAGAACUGAGGGGGGCUGCUCCUAGUACGAGAGGACCGGAGUGGACGCAUCACUGGUGUUCGGGUUGUCAUGCCAAUGGCACUGCCCGGUAGCUAAAUGCGGAAGAGAUAAGUGCUGAAAGCAUCUAAGCACGAAACUUGCCCCGAGAUGAGUUCUCCCUGACUCCUUGAGAGUCCUGAAGGAACGUUGAAGACGACGACGUUGAUAGGCCGGAUGUGUAAGCGCAGCGAUGCGUUGAGCUAACCGGUACUAAUGAACCGUGAGGCUUAACCUUACAACGCCGAAGCUGUU